ensembl:lncRNA
UCUCUCUCUCUCUAGUCUCUCUCUCUCUCUAGUCUCUCUCUCUCUCCAGUCUCUCUCUCUCCAGUCUCUCUCUCUCUCUCCUCUCUAUCUCAGUCUCUCCUCUCUCUCUCCAGUCUCUCUCUCUCAGUCUCUCGCGCUCUCUCUCUCUCUCUCUCUCUCUCUCCAGUCUCUCGCUCUCUCUCUCUCUCUCUCUCUCCAGUCUCUCGCUCUCUCCAGUCUCUCUCUCUCUCUCUCUCAGUCUCGCUCUCGCUCUCUCUCCAGUCUCUCGCUCUCUCUCUCGCUGUCUCUCUCUCUCCAGUCUCUCGCUGUCUCUCUCUCUCUCUCUCCCAGUCUCGCUCUCUCUCUCUCUCCAGUCUCGCUCUCUCUCUCUCUCUCCAGUCUCGCUCUCUCUCUCUCUCUCCAGUCUCGCUCUCUCUCCAGUCUCUCGCGCUCUCUCUCUCUCUCCAGUCGCUCUCUCUCCAGUCUCUCGCGCUCUCUCUCUCUCUCAUCUCUCGCUCUCUCUCUCUCUCUCCAGUCUCUCUCUCUCUCCAGUCUCUCCUCUCUCUCUCUCCAGUCUCUCCUCUCUCUCUCUCCAGUCUCUCUCUCUCUCCAGUCUCUCUCUCUCUCUCUCCAGUCUCUCGCUCUCUCUCUCUCACAGAUAGUCUACGGUGUUUUGAAUGUGGGGAUUUGGGGCACAAGAGUUUUGCGUGCCCACAUAAAGGCCAUAGACAAGGUGAGGGUACAAGCGCAAGUGGGGGAAAUCGAGGUCAAAAUGCAGGGGGUAAGGAGAUGCAGACAGCAGAGGCUGGGCCUAGUCAGGCUAGAGAUGGUAGGGUAGUGGAGGCUGGGUCUAGUCAGGCUAGAGAUGGUGGAGAAGCAGAGGCUGGGUCUAGUCAGGCUAGAGAUGGUAGGGUAGUGGAGGCUGGGUCUAGUCAGGCUAGAGAUGGUGGAGAAGCAGAGGCUGGGUCUAGUAUGCUAGAGAUGGUGGGGUAGCUGAGGCUGGGCCUAGACAUGCUAUGGAGGGUGGUGCAGAUGAUGCUGCGUCUAGUCAGGUUAUUCUAGUGGAUGAGGAGAGUAUAGUGGGGAAGUGUAAGAGAUUAGGGGGGGAGGAGGAGGGUGUCAAGAGGAAAAGGAAAAAGGGUGUGGACAAAGGCACCAUGGAAAUGUUGCCUGUUGCUGUGGGUGAGGCCCUAACCAG